AUUGAACGCUGGCGGCAGGCCUAACACAUGCAAGUCGAACGAGCGGCGGACGGGUGAGUAAUGUAUGGGAAUCUGCCUGAUGGAGGGGGAUAACUACUGGAACCGGUAGCUAAUACCGCAUACCAUCAGAUGAACCCAUAUGGGAUUAGCUUGUAGGUGAGGUAACGGCUCACCUAGGCGACGAUCCCUAGCUGGUCUGAGAGGAUGAUCAGCCACACUGGAACGUAGACACGGUCCAGACUCCUACGUGAGGCAGCAGUGGGGAAUAUUGCACAAUGGGCGCAAGCCUGAUGCAGCCAUGCCGCGUGUAUGAAGAAGGCAUUCGGGUUGUAAAGUACUUUCAGUCGGGAGGCGUUACCGGCAGAAGAAGCACCGGCUAACUCCGUGCCAGCAGCCGCGGUAAUAC
rnacentral:rRNA from 1 species